AACGAACGCUGGCGGCAUGCCUAACACAUGCAAGUCGAACGAGACCUUCGGGUCUAGUGGCGCACGGGUGCGUAACGCGUGGGAACCUGCCCUUAGGUUCGGAAUAACUCCCCGAAAGGGGUCCUAAUACCGGAUAAUGUCUUCGGACCAAAGAUUUAUCGCCUUUGGAUGGGCCCGCGUUGGAUUCGCUAGUUGGUAGGGUAAAAGCCUACCAAGGCGAGGAUCCAUAGCUGGUCUGAGAGGAUGAUCAGCCACACUGGGACUGAGACACGGCCCAGACUCCUACGGGAGGCAGCAGUGGGGAAUAUUGGACGAGGGGCGAAAGCCUGAUCAAGCAAUGCCGGGUGAGUGAUGAAGGCCUUAGGGUUGUAAAGCUCUUUUACCCGGGAUGAUAAUGACAGUACCGGGAGAAUAAGCACCGGCUAACUACGUG
rnacentral:rRNA from 1 species